UGGAAAAGGAUGUGGGAUUUCUAAGACAACUAGGAUGUUGGCUUAGAAGCAGCCAUUCAUUAAAAGAGUGCGUAAUAGCUCACUAGUCGAGAGAUCUUGCGCCGAAAAUGUAACGGGGCUAAACUUACCACCGAAGCUACGGGCUUGAACAUAGUUCAAGCGGUAGGAGAGCGUCGUAACCGGGCUGAAGUCGUACCGUAAGGAGCGGUGGACUGGUUACGAGUGAGAAUGUUGGCAUCAGUAGCGAGAUGUGGGUGAGAAUCCCACAGGCCGAAAACCUAAGGUUUCCUCAGGAAGGUUCGUCCGCUGAGGGUUAGUCGGGACCUAAGCCGAGGCCGAAAGGCGUAGGUGAUGGACAACUGGUUGAUAUUCCAGUACCACUACCAUCGUUAUUAUCGAUGGCGUGACGCAGGAGGAUAGUGUGUGCUAGCUAUUGGAUGCUAGUCUAAGCGUUUAGGCAGUGAGAGUAGGCAAAUCCGCUCUCAUAAUGCUGAGGCGUGAUGGGGAAGGUUCCACGGAACCGAAGUACAUGAUUCCACGCUGCCAAGAAAAGCGUCUAGAGAGAGAAGUAGUGCCCGUACCGCAAACCGACACAGGUAGGUGAGGAGAGAAUCCUAAGGCCGGCGGAAGAAUUACAGUUAAGGAACUCGGCAAAUUGACCCCGUAAGUUCGCGAGAAGGGGUGCCUACGAGAGUAGGCCGCAGAGAAUAGGCCCAAGCAACUGUUUAGCAAAAACACAGGUCUCUGCUAAAGCGAAAGCUGAUGUAUAGGGGCUGACGCCUGCCCGGUGCUGGAAGGUUAAGGGGAACACUUAGCGCAAGCGAAGGUGUGAACUUAAGCCCCAGUAAACGGCGGCCGUAACUAUAACGGUCCUAAGGUAGCGAAAUUCCUUGUCAGGUAAGUUCUGACCCGCACGAAUGGCGUAAUGACUUGGGCACUGUCUCAACUGUGAAUCCGGCGAAGUUGUAGUGCGAGUGAAGAUGCUCGCUACCCGCGAUUGGACGGAAAGACCCCGUAGAGCUUUACUGUAGCUUAGCAUUGAGUUUUGGUAUUGUCUGUACAGGAUAGGUGGGAGACUAGGAAACCAGGGCGUCAGCCUUGGUGGAGUCAACCUUGGGAUACCACCCUGACAGUACUGAAAUUCUAACUGGCGGCCAUGAAUCUGGUCACAGGACAUUGUUAGGUGGGCAGUUUGACUGGGGCGGUCGCCUCCUAAAAAGUAACGGAGGCGCCCAAAGGUUCCCUCAGAACGGUCGGAAAUCGUUCGAAGAGUGCAAAGGCAGAAGGGAGCCUGACUGCGACACCCACAAGUGGAGCAGGGACGAAAGUCGGGCUUAGUGAUCCGGUGGUACCUCGUGGGAGGGCCAUCGCUCAACGGAUAAAAGCUACCUCGGGGAUAACAGGCUGAUCUCCCCCAAGAGUCCACAUCGACGGGGAGGUUUGGCACCUCGAUGUCGGCUCG
rnacentral:rRNA from 1 species